AACGAACGCUGGCGGCAGGCCUAACACAUGCAAGUCGAGCGAGAUCUUCGGAUUUAGCGGCGGACGGGUGAGUAACGCGUGGGAAUAUGCCCUUUGGUACGGAAUAGCCUCGGGAAACUGGGAGUAAUACCGUAUGUGCCCUUCGGGGGAAAGAUUUAUCGCCAAAGGAUUAGCCCGCGUUGGAUUAGGUAGUUGGUGGGGUAAUGGCCUACCAAGCCUACGAUCCAUAGCUGGUUUGAGAGGAUGAUCAGCCACACUGGGACUGAGACACGGCCCAGACUCCUACGGGAGGCAGCAGUGGGGAAUCUUAGACAAUGGGGGAAACCCUGAUCUAGCCAUGCCGCGUGAUCGAUGAAGGCCUUAGGGUUGUAA
rnacentral:rRNA from 1 species